rnacentral:rRNA from 1 species
CAGCGCCACGAGUGGGAAUCGCGAUUAUUGAGCCUAAAGCGUCCGUAGCCAGACUAGUAAACCCUUGGGUAAAUUGGGCAGCUUAACUGUCCAAAUUCCGAGGGGACUGCUAGUCUUGGGACCGGGAGAGGUCAGAGGUACUCAAGGGGUAGGGGCUAAAUCCUGUAAUCCUUUGGGGACCACCAGUGGCGAAGGCGUCUGACUAGAACGGAUCCGACGGUAAGGGACGAAACCCUGGGGCGCGAACCGGAUUAGAUACCCGAGUAGUCC